rnacentral:rRNA from 1 species
UAGGGAAUCUUCGGCAAUGGACGAAAGUCUGACCGAGCAACGCCGCGUGAGUGAAGAAGGUUUUCGGAUCGUAAAACUCUGUUGUUAGAGAAGAACAAGGACGUUAGUAACUGAACGUCCCCUGACGGUAUCUAACCAGAAAGCCACGGCUAACUACGUGCCAGCAGCCGCGGUAAUACGUAGGUGGCAAGCGUUGUCCGGAUUUAUUGGGCGUAAAGCGAGCGCAGGCGGUUUCUUAAGUCUGAUGUGAAAGCCCCCGGCUCAACCGGGGAGGGUCAUUGGAAACUGGGCGACUUGAGUGCAGAAGAGGCGAGUGGAAUUCCAUGUGUAGCGGUGAAAUGCGUAGAUAUAUGGAGGAACACCAGUGGCGAAGGCGGCUCUCUGGUCUGUAACUGACGCUGAGGCUCGAAAGCGUGGGGAGCAAACAGG